rnacentral:lncRNA from 1 species
CAAAUGGAUAACAACUGUCAUAUUCCUGACUUGGUACAGACAUUUUCUUAUGUUGAAAAUGGUGGAUAAAACCUGGUUUUAUAACUAACUAAACCUCUCACUUGUAUGACAGUUGCAUAAAAUUCCAUUAUAUAGAUAACAAUGUUUGAAUAAAACAAACAGACAAAGCACAUGAGGAAAAAUACCAGACAAGAAUACAAUAAUUUACUAUAGCACAAAAACAGUAACAAUGACUGGAUGUAUAAGUACAGAGCCACAUUAUAUGUAACAUUAAAACACAAAUUGGCGUAUAGACAAAGCUCAAUUUAGCAAAAAUGAAAAAAAAGAAAACAAAUAUUUACCACAGCACAAUAACACAAUAACAAGAUGUACAGAGCCACGUCAAAUAGAUAUCACCGAACAGAC